GAGAGCUUCUUAUUAAGAUAUCAGUAUAUGUUAAUUUAUAAUAUAGUGCCGCCUAGAGGUCAAAGGCUUUUCAGAUAUGAUAAAGAGAAAGGAAACAUUGUUUAACCUAUAAAAUAUUUAUUACAUUAUGGCACCUCCCUUGGUAGGCUAGGUUAAGCAAACAAAAGAGAAAAAAAACAACCCCCAACCAGUAGGCUCAGUACAACUUUGCAUUUCACUUUAGAGAUAGUGAUGUGACUUUUAACUGGAACUUUCUACUGAAGUUGAGACUACACCUCAGCUAUUUUUAAAAAACCUGAAGGACACUUUUGUAACCACCAAGAUUUGUGGUUAUAUACAAAUUGUUUUUGUAUUCAGCAUGAUGAUUUUUCUCAGUAUCCAGUAUUUCAGGAACUUGUAUUUUCACUUCCAGAUUGAAGGGAUGACCUACAUAAUCUUGAAACCCUGACUUUCAGAAGCAGCCGAACAGAAUCCAAGGACUAGAACUUAAGAAUACGCAUAAGUAAGGAUUCCAAGGUCAGCUUUCAGAAAGGUCAGAAAAAGAGGGCCAUGGACUCAAGAAGGUUUUGGUGAAGAACUGGGACAGACAUAGAGCUAAUGGAAUUCAGUAUUCUUCAUGUUUACAACAAAUAGUUUAAACUUACUUCUAAACUUGCAAGACUCGAAGUAAAAAAAAAAAAAAAAGUAAAAAGUUUCUGCCACUCUAAAAAGCAUCCAGUAUGAAGUCCAAAAAUCUCACAUGGAUCACAUUUCCAAGAUCUCCAGCAGCGCAGUUGGGAGAUUAAUGCCAUCACUAUGCCCAUCAGGGAGAAGGCAAAGUAGACUGGCACUUUAGAAACUAACCCAUUCAGAAAGGCAUAAGCUUUCACACACAACAGCCUACUUUGUCAGAUGCUAUGACUGAUAAAGGCUGUCACCUAUGAAAGUUUAUACCUGACAUGAGUCUAAGAUGCUACCCUACCUUCUGUCCGACUUCAGACUGACAUGGCUAACUACUUCUUUUCUUGUCUACCAGGAAACUUGCAGAGUGAAGUUGUGGCCAGGCUAAGUCAAUAAGUUUUGACCUGGCUUAGAAUCACUGAAAGUGAGAGUUGGAAGAGACCUCAGGAGGUCAUCUAGCCCAACUCCCUGCUUAAAUCAGGUCCAUCCUCAACUAGAUCAUCUAAUCCAAGGCUUUGUCUUGCAGGUUUUUAACAUCUGGCUAGGAUAGAUUCCACAACCUCUCUGGGUAACCCAUUCCAGUGUUUUACUACCCUUGUAGUGAGAAAGCUUUUCCUAAUAUCUAACCUAAACUUCCCUUGCCACAACUUGAGACAGUUGCUCCUUGUUCUGUCAUCUGCCACCACUGAGAACAGUCUAGCUCAAAUUUCUUUGGAAAAACCCUUCAGGUAGUUGAAGGCUGCUAUUAAAACUUGUAAGGGUAUAAGGGUAUAGGAUUUCAUUCCCAA
rnacentral:lncRNA from 1 species